rnacentral:rRNA from 1 species
GAAGUAAAAGUCGUAACAAGGUUUCCGUAGGUGAACCUGCGGA